UGCUUGAAUUUAAAGGAAAGAACGUCUUUCUUCAACUCUGGGUGGCAGGCUUGCUAUUCUUGGCUGCAAAUACUUUCGUUCUAAUCAAUAUUAUCCAGCAGCAUACAUAGAGUCCAGUCUUCCAAGUCCAACCAGUCAUCUCGUGCCACUUCAAAGAAACAUGUCAAACAGAGAUGAGGAAUCAGAUCAUAUACAUCCUAAUUCACAUUGUUACACCCCCUUUUUACGUGCUCCAAAAAAAGAACUUAAUGUUUUAAGUUUCGAAAGAAUUUUUAUUAUUAAAGUGACAAAGAUAAAAAUUUGUUUCGAAAAAGAACUAUUUAUAUUUUUUAUUCAGAGUCGCCACUUGGCAUAAUCUGGUGUGUCAAGUCACCACUGGAAAAUCCUUUUCAAAACCAUUUGACUCUUUAAACUGGUUUGCGAAUAAAGAUUCCGGCUAAGGAAUUCUGUUGACCGAGGGGAAGGUGUUAGGCACCUCUCGAUCCCGUGGUUCAACCACGGUCGCUUGAUAGAGUGUAUCAACUAUUUUGGCAUUACGAAAUGUAUAAACCACACAAAAGCACGCAAAAUAAUCAAACAAUAAACAAAAACAAAACAAAAUGUAAAGUCCAGUCCAAUUAUUACAACCCGAAAUAAAAAGGGACUGAAAGUAAACCUACGCUAAUCCUGAACUAAUGCUCUAUCCGACGCCUCGGGUCUUCACCACGAACUUCCUCCGGGUACAUAAUACCUCGGGGCAUUUCCCGGUGAAUAAAUAUAUACAGAUACUUCGGGGCAUUCCCCGACCAAAUGAAUAUAUUUUUUAGUGCGAGAAAAUCAAAUUAUUCAACAAAAUUUCAAACAUUCCAUGAAAUUUCCAACAUUCAACCAAAGCCGUCAAUUCUAAACAUUCCACGAAAACACUUGUUCCUAAAUUCGUCUACACAGCCUAUAUUCGCCUAUCCAAUUAGCAACCUAAAACAGUGAUACUAUCAAGUUUACCAACGUUAUUCAUGCUUAUUCCAAGUUGAACAAAAGUAACAAUAAAACCAUCAUUAACCAAAUUCAUCAUUUUAUCAAUCUCGUAAUUCCACCCCAACUUUCCUUUUAUCAAACCAUUAAACAUGAUAAAACUCAUUCCUCAAAACAACAUAACCGAAUCACAAACGCCAUGAUCAACAUCAACAAAAAUCCAACAAAAUAUAAUAGCACCACACAUAUUCAUAAUCCAUUCAACACAUUAAGAUAGAUAAAAAGAGAAUGGGUUAAGAAAUAGACCUUUCAACAAUCUGAUCUUUGUUGAUAAUAAGAAAACCCGGACUUGGAAUUUAGAAUAGAACCUCAACGGCGAUGAAUCCAACUCGAAUAGAGAAAUAGCAAUCUGAAUUGAAGCCUCAAACGACCUUCCAAUAAUCGACUUUCAUUGAUAAUAAAUAAUUAAAGAAGCCAAACUUUGAACCCCGACUAGAAAAUCUCAACGACCAGCCACCUUAAAUUGAGUGUUUCGAACUGUGAUUAUUAUUUAAUCGCACUUUUGAUUUCAAACCGAGCAGCUGACUGGAGCUCAUGAAUUGGACCUCAUCGGAACCUCAAAUCGGAAUUUGUGAAUCCGAAAUAGUCAACCCAAACUCGAUUAGUACCUAAACCCCGAUCGUUUUUUUUCGAUCUGUUUUGGUGCUGGAUUGACUGAUUGCCCCGACGAGCAUCGAAGAGAACGGAGCUGUUCUUGUUUUCCGGCGGAUAUAAGUCGAUUACAGCAAGGAGCUUGGUCGCCGGUUUUAAUGGGUUUUACGACGCCUCUCCGAUCACUGUUCCUCAAAUCCCGAUUUCACUCUCUGUUUUUGCUACUCUGUUUUCUUCAUCUUCCUCUCUCUAAAUCAACCCCCAAUUUCUUGUUUUCCGAUCACCGCCGACCCCUACUGCAUGCGUGUGUGUGAGGAACGUUUGUGUAUUGCCUUCUGUGUGGUGAAUUGUAAAAAGAAUAGAAGAUGAUGGAUCGUGGUGUGUGUUGUUACUAUGAGAAAAAUACAAAAAUGGAGCUCCUGUGCCUCCCCAUCUCUACUGUGAUGGUCUCCCUUUUCAAUUUUGGAAAAGAAAGAAGAACCCCCUUUUGUGUAAUUGAAAAACCGGAAGAAGAAGAAGAAGAAGAAAAACCCCUUUAUCAAUGGAAUCUCAAUCUGAAUAUAUGGUGCCUUCCGUGUAAAAAGGGUAGGGGGUAGGGUGUGGGGUAGUGAUGUGUUGUCCAAAAUUGAUAGGAGAAGUGGUUAAUUUUGUUACAAAAGAAUAAUUGGGGAUUAGGUUUGUUAGUGGGUUUGUUAUUUUUUUGUAUUUUUAUGGGAUAUAAUCAUACGGGUGAGGGCACGUGGUAA
rnacentral:lncRNA from 1 species